CUUGCGGUUAUUUUCUGUUACGUUCAACGGCAACAUUAGAAUGAUCUAGAAUAGAACCAAGAUGGAACCAAGAGCGGAUCCAGGGGGGGGGGGUCCUUCGUGGGAAAAAUUUGGUUGAUUAUAUAGGGAAUCAUUGAAGCAUGACUGAAGCGGGCCCCCCUUAGGAAAAGUUCUGGAUCCACCACUGUCUAGACAUAUUUACGUAAAUAAGGGAUGAGUAAAGGGAAAAAAAAAGAA
rnacentral:lncRNA from 1 species